GUGGGACAGCAUCGGCGUCACAUUCCGGAUCGUGUCCUCUUUAGCAUAGAAUGGAAAGAAGCCACUAUGCCCUCUCCUCAGAACAUUCAAGGUGCCACCUCUUAAGGCUGUGAAACCCUUCAGUCUGGUGGCACGAAGAGACGGCGGCGAUGCUCUUCUGCGGACCAGUCAGCGACUGUCCAGGGGCCACCUGCGGCCUGGUGCCGGUCACAUACCAUCACCCUGAUGCAGGGAGGCCCAUGUCCGGGAAGAGUCUGGGGAUCUUUUCAGAUGACAACUGAUUGCCAGACUGCAGGGAGAAGCCUCUCUUCAUAGCCAAGUGACU